rnacentral:rRNA from 1 species
ACAUGCAAGUCGAACGAACUUAACCAUUAGUUUACUAUUGGAGCGGUUAGUGGCGGACUGGUGAGUAACACGUAAGCAACCUGCCUAUCAGAGGGGAACAACAGUUAGAAAUGACUGCUAAUACCGCAUAUGCCUAAGUACCACAUGGUACAAUAGGGAAAGGAGCAAUCCGCUGAUAGAUGGGCUUGCGUCUGAUUAGCUAGUUGGUGGGGUAAAGGCCUACCAAGGCGACGAUCAGUAGCCGGACUGAGAGGUUGAACGGCCACAUUGGGACUGAGAUACGGCCCAGACUCCUACGGGAGGCAGCAGUCGGGAAUAUUGCGCAAUGGAGGAAACUCUGACGCAGUGACGCCGCGUGCAGGAAGAAGGUUUUCGGAUUGUAAACUGCUUUAGACAGGGAAGAAACAAGACAGUACCUGUAGAAUAAGCUCCGGCUAACUACGUGCCAGCAGCCGCGGUAAUACGUAGGGAGCGAGCGUUAUCCGGAUUUAUUGGGUGUAAAGGGUGCGUAGACGGGAAGGUAAGUUAGUUGUGAAAUCCCUCAGCUUAACUGAGGAACUGCAACUAAAACUGUCUUUCUUGAGUACUGGAGAGGAAAGUGGAAUUCCUAGUGUAGCGGUGAAAUGCGUAGAUAUUAGGAGGAACACCAGUGGCGAAGGCGACUUUCUGGACAGAAACUGACGUUGAGGCACGAAAGUGUGGGGAGCAAACAGGAUUAGAUACCCUGGUAGUCCACACCGUAAACGAUGGAUACUAGGUGUAGGAGAUAAUAAAUCUUCUGUGCCGCCGCUAACGCAAUAAGUAUCCCACCUGGGGAGUACGGCCGCAAGGUUGAAACUCAAAGGAAUUGACGGGGGCCCGCACAAGCAG